CUUUCAAAUAAAGGAAAAAGAUUAUGUGUUCACAUUUUCAGUAAUGUCCUUAGAGCCUUGGUAUGUUAUUUUUCCAAGCUUGUUAAGAAAAUUCUCAUCUUGCACACUGUGAAUAAAACCCACUGGAAUAUUUUGUGAGGAUAAUUCUGUCACCUCCACAGGCUGAUUCAGUGGUGUUCCCGUGACUAUUUAACAUUUGGCUACAUGUUUAAGUGAAGAAAGGUGUAGCAAAAAAAUUAAGUUUUAGAAGGUGGUAGGAGCAUAUCAGUCUCUCCAACUGUCUGCCCAGCUGUUGAACUUCUUGUUUUGAAAUCCAGACUAACAAAGGCAGUUCCUCUCAUAGCUGUUCUUUUUCUACCCAUAGUUCUCUACAGCAAUAGCCUGUAUCAUCUGCAGUGGGAUGUCUGUAACUGUUCAUGGGCUACUAUUGUCAUUUCACAUAAACAUACCGCAGUAACCUUCUAUCAGCAUUUUCGUGAGGAAGUGUCAGAGCUGGUUGUAGCUGCAUGAAGAGAGAGAGACAAUGACUUCUUUCUUGAGGAAGGUGUAUUGGAGAAAGUAUAAACCUUUUGGCAAAUCUCACAAUAUCCAUGUAUGAUGCAUCUGCUUCACCUGUGCUUUUCCUCACAGCAAUAUUUAUCCAAUAUAUGAGAAAGUGCCAAGCCAUCCUGGCAGAUGUGGAUGAGAACAGAAGAAGAGGUGGCUACAUGUAAAAAGUGUUUCAAGUGUGUUCUGCUCAAGCUCAAAAAUUUCCAAUAGUGAAACACACAUGGGCUAUCUAAGGAUAAUAUUCAGUGACCAGGAAGAAAACAUAAAAGGUCAGACCUGGGAACAUGGCAAAAAUGUUAUAUUACCUGUGAUAAGCUUUUUAAUUAUAAUUAUGGUUUGGGAGGUUAUGGCUUUUGCUGGCAUUCAUUUUGGUUAUAUUCAUAUUUAGCUGUUGUACAUCAGUUCAUCAAUAAUUCAAUUGAAGUAAUGUUUUAACAGAAGUAAGGCACUCUUUUCAGUUUUAAGGUAUCAUUUAUACUUCACUAUCCUUUUCAAUGCCAUGAAAACUGUGGACACUGAAAGUUACUUAGAGGGAUAUCCACCCUGCUUGUUAUAGGUGACAGGAGAAUGGUUUUAUUAAAAUAAAACAUAGACAGCA